CGCAGGGGUGGGGCCUUCACGAUGGAGGUCGGCCAGCGGUGUCGUCUCCUUCUCGCCGACUGCACAUCCACGCAUGCCACGAACAGCUCGGAUGACAUCCACAGCAACGGAUUCACCGUGACAGGAGUGGUGGUGGGGGUGCGCCCCCACGCCGAGGAGCCAUGGCGGCGCUUGUAUUACGUUCACUGCACCCACAUCGAGUUUGGCGCGGAGCUGGCGCGGCAGCGGCGCAAGGCGGCUGCACCGUCGUGGAGCGGGGCCCCACUCAGCACUAUUGGGAGCGGCACCAUACACAGCUGCAACGAGCUGCGCGCCGCCGGCGGCAGCUUUGUCUCAAACGGCGGCUACCACUACCGCUACGAUGGCUGGUAUGAUGCCUUCGCUCUCGCCCCGCUGUCUGCGGACGUCUUCCUCGCCAACAACACCGCUGCCAUGGCGUCCGCUGGCUCUUCGCCACCUGAGCCGCCCGCGACGGUGUCGGAACCGCGCGAUGACGAAGGAGCAGCGUCAGUGCCCGCCGUCUCGCACCUGCCUGGACAGCACCGCGAAGCCCCGGAGGAGUGGGUGACCGCGAUGGAGCGUGACACGGCCGUGUGCGAGGUGGUGUAUCUGUGCUACGCCUUCCAACCUUGGUUUCCUGCACCCUACAGCGCUCUACAGUACCUGGCCCUCCCCGAGGACGACGUCUGCCACUCCGUCUACGUGUGCCACCGCUGUCUCUCGCCCUUCUUCACGCGGGAGCAGUACUACGUACACCUGGCCGGCGAGUACUGCCGCCUGCGCACCCCGCCUGGCCGACUCAUCUACCAUGACGGGGACGCCGGGUACAAGGCGUUCCUCGUGGACGGCGCCAAGGACCUUCACUAUGGCCGCUGCCUCUCCCUCCUGGGCAAACAGCUCAUCGAGAGCAAGGUGCUGUCGAACGACGUCGACCUGUACGAGUAUGUGGUGGUGACGAUUCCCCGCGCCUCUCUGCCGUACAUACCAGCCGCACUGCCGUCCUGCACGUCCGCCGAGCAGUGUGGAGUGGACAACCUGGUCGCGCUUUCGAGAGAGGGGUUUCGCCAGGCUGCGAGCGACUUCGACGCGGAGGACUGGGACGGCGACGCGGUCAUGGGGUACUUCAGCAGGCUGAAGCACCACCCCGAUCACACGCUCUCGUGCAUUGUCACGCUGCCCAUGUUUCAACGCACACGUGUGGCUACUUUCCUGCUGGAUGUGGCGUACUGGAUGACUCGGCAGCGGCAACGUCUGUGCGGGUGCGGCUUCUGUGGGCAGUCUGGCGGAGCCAUCAGUCGACCCUUCUCGCCCCACGGGCAGUCGUUGCUGCUCUCCUACUGGCGACGCGCGCUGCUGCGGUCUCUAGCCGAGGUUGCUCCGUUACACCGGCGUGCGUCACGGGCCGCGCAGCCGGAGCUGCGCUUCACCCUGGCGGAGCUCCGCGCGCUGAUGGACAUACCAAUCCACACAGAUGACAUGGAAACGCUGCUGCUGCAGAGCGAGUUCGCCUUCUAUCAGCCCGCUGCUGCCAGCGCCGCGUCGGCGCGCUACAGCGACGAUGACGACAGCACCUCACCACCAACCUCUCCGACCUCUGCAGAGAGAGGGCAACGUCGCGAGCGCGGCAGCACCUCCACUUCGCUGAAAGACUCGCAGGCGAGCAGCGGCAGCAAGCUGUCCUCUUCCUCGGCCGGAGGCAGCGCUGGGAAUGGUGGCAGCUCGACAUCUGGAGCGCGCUACACGGCCACGCUGGUUCUGGAGGCCACGCUCCUUGAGGCAGCAGCAGAGCUUCACACAAAGAAGCCGCGCUCGUGUGUGAUGUUCGACAAGCGCUGGCUCGUAAAGGAUGGGCGAGGCGCCUAUGCGUACGACACGCCGUACUUCCACCACUGAACAGUAUUCAUGGAGGUGCAGAGAGGUGAAAGAGGCGAGUGCAGCAUGGAUGGUGAGUGGCCGCAAGAUCCGCAAGAGAGUGCGUGUGUAUGAGUGCUGCCUGUGUGUGUGUGUGCGUCGUCCCUCGCAGCUCACCGCGUGCCUUUUCUUUCCCUUCUCCAUGUCUCUCGCAUGGCCCACCAUCGCGUUUCCGUGGAAGGCUCUUCACCAACCACCGACCACCGACCGUCUCUUGCUUUUCCAAAGCACAGCACGGCCACCGACCGAUACACGCGCGUAGACGCGCGCACAUUUAUACGUCUCUCUAUCAAGCCACUCGUGAG
rnacentral:misc_RNA from 1 species